rnacentral:misc_RNA from 1 species
GAUGAAGAACGCAGCGAAAUGCGAUAAGUAAUGUGAAUUGCAGAAUUCAGUGAAUCAUCGAGUCUUUGAACGCACAUUGCGCCCCCUGGUAUUCCGGGGGGCAUGCCUGUCCGAGCGUCAUUGCUGCCCUCAAGCACGGCUUGUGUGUUGGGCCCCGCCCCCCGGCUCCCGGGGGGCGGGCCUGAAAGGCAGCGGCGGCACCGCGUCCGGUCCUCGAGCGUAUGGGGCUUCGUCACCCGCUCCGUAGGCCCGGCCGGCGCCCGCCGGCGACCCCCCUCAAUCUUUUCAGGUUGACCUCGGAUCAGGUAGGGAUACCCGCUGAACUUAAGCAUAUCAAUAAGCGGAGGA